AGUGGCGGACGGGUGAGUAACGCGUGGGUAACCUGCCUCAUACAGGGGGAUAACAGUUAGAAAUGACUGCUAAUACCGCAUAAGCGCACAGUACCGCAUGGUACGGUGUGAAAAACUCCGGUGGUAUGAGAUGGACCCGCGUCUGAUUAGGUAGUUGGUGGGGUAACGGCCUACCAAGCCGACGAUCAGUAGCCGACCUGAGAGGGUGACCGGCCACAUUGGGACUGAGGCACGGCCCAA
rnacentral:rRNA from 1 species